GACGAACGCUGGCGGCGUGCUUAACACAUGCAAGUCGAACGGAAAGGCCCUGCUUUUGUGGGGUGCUCGAGUGGCGAACGGGUGAGUAACACGUGAGUAACCUGCCCUUGACUUUGGGAUAACUUCAGGAAACUGGGGCUAAUACCGGAUAGGAGCUCCUGCUGCAUGGUGGGGGUUGGAAAGUUUCGGCGGUUGGGGAUGGACUCGCGGCUUAUCAGCUUGUUGGUGGGGUAGUGGCUUACCAAGGCUUUGACGGGUAGCCGGCCUGAGAGGGUGACCGGGCACAAUGGGACUGAGGUACGGCCCAGACUCCUACGGGGGGCAACAGGGGGGAAUAUUGCACAAAGGGCGGAAGCCUGAUGCAGCAACGCCGCGUGCGGGAUGACGGCCUUCGGGUUGUAAACCGCUUUCGCCUGUGACGAAGCGUGAGUGACGGUAAUGGGUAAAGAAGCACCGGCUAACUACGUG
rnacentral:rRNA from 1 species